GAUAUGAUGGACAAGACACUAAUGUAAUGUCCAGUAUCAUGUUUGGAUACACAUAAAAAUACAUGGACAAGACUAUAAUAUUAGGUAAAAUGACUAAAAUAGACAUCCCUCCCCUCCUUCCCUGUAUCUCUAAUCCUUGCCCUCCCUAACCUUUCGCUAAACUCUUCUCACUCUCUCUGGUGGACUACUCUUCAACACAUCGCAUUCCAUUUUACCCUACCUCUCUUGAUUGCAAGAAUGUUGUCAUUGUUCCCAUUCUCACGAAUCAUGUUAAGCCCCAAUCGCUUGAUGAAGCUGUUGAUUCCUUCACUCGCAUGCUCUUUAUGUGUCGCCCUCCAUCCAUCCUUCAAUUCCCCAAGAUUUUGGGAUCUCUUGCCAAGACCAACCAUUGCCCCACCGCCAUUUCCCUUUUUCAGCAAUUGCAAUCCAGGCUUAUGCAAAUUCCAAUCUUUUACUGUCAUUCAAAGCCAAACUGAGCAAAGUUUCAUAUGCAAAGAAGAUGGAGAAGAAAAGAGAGAUUGUGGAGCUGUAUAGGGAGAGGCUGGACAACACUCUUGCCUCACCUCAUAUGACAAAUUAUCACAUGCUCAAAAACCUUGUUCAGACUCAACUCUUGCAUUCUUCAAAACAACAAGAUAAAAUAGGAUAAUGAAGGGUUCCGUGUUAUAUAUCACGAAGGGCCGGAGGGAACUCCGUUUCAAGUGGCCUUAUAUUAUUGUCCAUUCUGUUCCUAUACAUCUCAGUUUGAAAGAUUCGUGUCAUCCAUUUACUUUGGUAAUUUUGGUAGUUGUUAAUCUAACACUGGUUGAUCUUCCUGCUAGAAUUCUACCAAGGUGAAGGUGCCGAUAGCUUAAGGUGAAGAAAGAAAAUUCCUAGAAGAAAAUGAGCUAAGGGAAAAGAAAAGAAAAGCAGCAGCAUGAAGGUAUGGACCAUAAGAGUGAAUUCAUUUGUAAAGUGAACCAAUAAGGGUGAAUUCAUUUGUAAAUAAAUAUUGCUGUGCACUUAGAUUAAGCAAAAGCUGGAUAGGCUCUUACUCACUUUAGAGGCAAGCUCUGUUUUGAAGAGCUAUUGCUAUCUGCCACAGCCAAGCACAUUUAGAUCCUCUGGAUUGGGGUAUGAAUGGGGAGUUUUGACCACAAACUGACGUAGGAGGCUAGGACUUCUCUCCUUGAACACCCCACUUUUGUUUCUAGCUUGGGAAGGACUGAGUUUGGUUUUCAGAGGUGGGAAUGGCUGAUGGUUGAUGAAGUACAAAAUGAUCAAACUGUAACUGCUUAAUAUUUUAUUUUUUUUAAAAUAUUAUUCACAGUCAUCAUUUUAUUCUAUUUCAAAUUUCCAUGAGAGAAGAGAGAAUAUGCAUACAUGUUUAGGACAUGGGACAUAUGCAUUUACAUGUAGAAUAUCGUUGAGCCUGAAGUUUCAAUAACUUGUGUCACUUAUUGUUACACUUAAUAAUAGUUUUCGAGCUUUAUUUUUCAGAA